GUGCUGGCUUUGUCGAGUGGGUACUUCGUAUAUCUGAAAAUCUCGUAACCACAAGAUUCUGCAGAUCGCGGGUUCGAAUCCCGCAUCUUCCCUACCCACUGACGCUAUCCGGCACUCUU
rnacentral:vault_RNA from 1 species